GAUGAACGCUGGCGGCGUGCUUAACACAUGCAAGUCGAACGAUGAAGCCCAGCUUGCUGGGUGGCUUAUUGGCGAACGGGUGAGUAACACGUGAGUAACCUGCCCUUAACUCUGGGAUAAGCCUGGGAAACUGGGUCUAAUACCCGAUAGGAGCGUCCACCGCAUGGCUGUUGUUGGAAAGAUUUAUUGGUUUUGGAUGGACUCUCGGCCUAUCAGCUUUUUGGUGUGGUAAUGGCUCACCAAGGCGACGACGGGUAGCCGGCCUGAGAGGGUGACCGGCCACACUGGGACUGAGACACGGCCCAGACUCCUACGGGAGGCAGCAGUGGGGAAUAUUGCACAAUGGGCGCAAGCCUGAUGCAGCGACGCCGCGUGAGGGAUGACGGCCUUCGGGUUGUAAACCUCUUUCAGUAGGGAAGAAGCGAAAGUGACGGUACCUGCAGAAGAAGCACCGGCUAACUACGUG
rnacentral:rRNA from 1 species